GUGAGGAAUAUUGGUCAAUGGGCGUGAGCCUGAACCAGCCAAGUCGCGUGAGGGAAGACUGCCCUAUGGGUUGUAAACCUCUUUUGUCGGGGAGCAAAGCUGCCACGUGUGGUGGUUUAAGAGUACCCGAAGAAAAAGCAUCGGCUAACUCCGUGCCAGCAGCCGCGGUAAUACGGAGGAUGCGAGCGUUAUCCGGAUUUAUUGGGUUUAAAGGGUGCGUAGGCGGACGAUCAAGUCAGCGGUCAAAUGUCGGGGCUUAACCCCGGCCUGCCGUUGAAACUGGUUGUCUUGAGUGAGCGAGAGGUAUGCGGAAUGCGUGGUGUAGCGGUGAAAUGCAUAGAUAUCGCGCAGAACCCCGAUUGCGAAGGCAGCGUACCGGCGCCGGACUGACGCUGAGGCACGAAAGCGUGGGUAUCGAACAGG
rnacentral:rRNA from 1 species